rnacentral:lncRNA from 1 species
UUGUUGGAUCGUGAUCCGAGGCUAUAGGGGGGGUGAUAGCCUCUUUUCGAUUUAUACAGGUUGAUAGCGGAAUUACCUGUAAAUACUCAAUAAACAAAUGGUUGAACAGUAAUGAUAUAAAGAUAUUAUUAUUAAUAAUAAUGUAAGUAUUACUCUUUGAAGCUUACUACAGUAUAUGAAUACUGAGUCAACUUUCUUGAUAAUGUUUCAAACACAACUAUAGUAUAUGAAUACUAAGUUAUAUUUAAAACACAAAUUGUAUUGUAGAGUAAAUGACCAGAUAACUGGAUAAAUUGAUGCGUAAAUAAAUGACCAGAUAACUGGAUAUAUUGACAAGUAAGUAAGUGACCAGAUAACUGGAUAAUUUGACAAACAAGUAAGUGACCAGAUAACUGGAUAAAUAUGAUAAGUAAAAUAUAAGGAUUUAAAACAAUGAAUGUAACCUCAGAUAGUUGACCAGAUAACUGGAUGAGGGAUCUGCGUAAAGUAGUCAACCUCUGUUCUUGACCAGAUAACUGGAAGAGGGAUCUUUUUAAUUAGGUGUUGUUUUUAAGCAAAAGAUAGAACUAAAAUUAACAGAGAACAACACAAGAGAUUUAUACUGGUUCACCCAAACACGGGCUAGUCCAGUCCCGACCCACUGCCGGAUUUCACUCGCCUAAAGGUAAUGGCAAAACCUUUUCUAAGCUUUAAGGCUACUACGCUUAGGAACCAGUCUUUUACGGGUAGACUCACACCUUAGAGUAUUACAGGGCACUCUUAAGAACCUCUAACUUUUACGGGUAAGUUAGUACCUUAGAGUAUUCAAGGAACUCUUAAAAACCUUUCUAAGCUUUAAGGCUACUACGCUUAGGAACCAGUCUUUUACGGGUAGACUCACACCUUAGAGUAUUACAGGGCACUCUUAAGAACCUCUCUAAGCUUUAAGGCUACUUCGCUUAGGAACCAGUCUUUUAUAGGUAGACUCACACCUAAGAGUUUUCCCGGGAACUCUAUAAAACCAAACAGAGCUUUAUGGUUGAGCUCACAAACCUUUCCUCACACUUUGGUACUAUUGAGACAACCCUCUCAACCAAAGUGGACACACACAAGAGGUGAUUAGAGGAGUGGAAUAUCAAAGCAAACAACACUUCUUACUUGUACAAAUGAACAAGAAGAUUAGAAGAAGAAUUUGGAAAGCUUUUGAAGCUUUGGAAAGCUAGGACACUUGAGAACUUGGAAGCUUGGAAGCUUGAUGGCAAAAACGUGUGGACAAGUGUGGAGUGGAAGCUCUUGAGUUUGCUUAUGGUGUGGUGAGUGGAAAUGAGGGGAUUACCCUUCUAUUUAUAGCCUUGGCCACUCAAUGUCCAUCCUUGGAUCUUCAAUGGAUGGCUCCUUGAUUUCUCACAUAAAUCCAAGAUUUGUCUUUGAAUAGUGUUUGCCUUGGAUAGUAUUGUGUCUCCUUGUCUUUGUUGGAGAAAUUCAAAUCUUUGUAAAUUCAAACUUGAAUAGAGAAUUUUACCGUUGUAGGAGAAUUCUUUUCUUUGUAAAUUCAAACUUGAAUAGUGUUUUGUCUCCUUGUCUUUGUUGGAGAAUCUUAUCUUUGUAAAUUCAAACUUGAAUAGAGAAUUUUGUCUCCUUGGAAUAUUAUACCUUGAAUAAAGUGUCACAAGAUAAUAAUAAUAAUAUGCAAGGUAAAAUGCAAUUAUUCCAAAUAAUAUUCAAGGUGAAAAUGCAAUUCUCCCAAUUAAUAUAUUCAAGAUGAAAAUGCAAUUCUCCCAAUUAAUAAUAUUCAAGAUGAAAAUGCAAUUCUCCCAAUUAAUAAUAUUCAAGAUGAAAAUGCAAUUCUCCAAAUUUGACUUUUAACUUUGACUUAAACCCUUAACUCAAAUGAUUAAUUAAUUAACUAGAGUUAGGUUUAAUAUCUAUUGACUUAUUUAACCCCUAUUGAUUAAUAGUGUAAUUAGGGUUUAAAUUGACAUGAUUAAAAUAUAAUCCUAUGUCGAAAAUUUUGAUUCUACAUUCUCCCCCUUUGUCGAUGGCAUAUAUGUUUUAACUCAUGUCUAGUCAAUAUUCUAUUUUACCCUUAUGAGCAUGCUCCCCCUGAAUUAUUGGCCCGUAAUAUUCAAUUUAAAACCAGUGGAUCAUGCAUGAUUUCUCCCCUUUAAAACAAUAAGGUAUCGACAAAGUUAAAAAUAGAUACCUGUGAAGUAUCUCCCCCUUAAUGAUAGAACAUAUCUAAUUUGUGGAGAAAAUAAAAUUUCAUACCUCAUUGAGCUUUUAUCACAAAUUUGAUUUGUGUGGUUGACCAAAUGUGACGUCUUGCUUAUAAGAGUGUUAGUCAAUCAUAAAGGAGAAAUAACAUGUAAUUUAUGCUCAUUGAUAAAAUAUUGAAGCCAAUUUUGAUAUACAUUAUAAGGCAAGUAUGAUAUGAUAAUUUAGAUUGCCUUGUGCUAAGAUCAUGCAAUGAAUAAUAAUCCAUGUGUGUGUUAUGGAUGAAGAUGAUCUUAACAUGUAUGGAUUAAAGAUUUUAUAAUGUUAUAAUCCAUAAGAUAUUAGUGAAUAAUAUUCACUAAUUGCUUUAAGGAAAAAUUGAGCAUUUAAAAUUUUAAAAUCUAUGUCUUAGUGACAAAUAUAAUCAUGUAAAUAUUCACUAAGUUUUAAAAUUUUCAUUUCAGUCCUUAAAGCCUUAGUAGUAAAACUUCACUUAAAAUAAAAUUUCAUAAAUACUUAGAUUAAUACUUGAAAUAUUUCAUGUAAACCUUGAAAGUAUUAACCAAUUUUAAGCAUUGAAAACUUUAUGUAAAUAUUAAUUUUGAGUCCCUGAAGUGUUCACUAAAUAUUUACUGUAAAAUAUCCUUUGAACCCUUAAUGAAUAACUUCAUAGAUAAUUUAAUCUCUUUGAAGUUAUACUUAGAUUAAUACUUUAAAAUAUUAUUUUAAACCUUGGAAGUAUUGAAUAUUUCUAAGUAAUUUUUCUGAUUAAAACUUCAUGUAAAUAUUGAUUCUAAGUCCCUGAAGUUUUAAAUAUAUAUUCACUGAAAAAUAUAAUUUUAAUCCUUGACCUUUCAGUGAGUUAUUUAAACAUAGAAACUUCACAAAUGAUUUUCAUUUAAGUCCCUGAAGUUUUAUAUAUAUAUUCACUGAAAAAUAUAAUUUUAAUCCUUGACCUUUCAGUGAGUUAUUUUAAACUUAGAAACUUCACAAAUGAUUUUCAUUUAAGUCCCUGAAGUUUUAUAUUCACUAAAAAUAUAGCUUUAAUCCUUAAACUUUUAGUGAAUUAUUUUAAACCUAGAAACUUCACAAAUGAUUUUCAUUUAAGUCCCUGAAGUUUCACUGGAAAAUAUAUCUUUAAUCCUUAAGCUUUCAGAAACUUCAAACAUAAUUUAUGUUUAAGCCCUUGAAGUUUCAUAGAAUUUUAUAUUUACUGAAAUAUACCUUUUAACCCUUAAAUUUUCAGUAAAUCUUUUUAAACUUCAAAAAUAUUUUAUGUUUAAUCCCUUGAAGUUUAAAGUUGAUUAAUACUUCAAAAUAAUUUUAAUUAUGCCCUAAAGUAUUAACCAAAGAUCCAUGCAACCCUUAAGUUUUUGAUUUCUAACAUUAUGUUUUUCUUUAUGCAUGCAUACCCUUAUGUUGAUAAACUUAUAGAACUUCUUCCAUUUCAACAAAGGAGGUGAUACAUUACUAGAUUAAUCUCAUAUUCAAUGAGACUACGAUCCAUGAAUGGAUCUCCAAAAUAGCAGAAAAACAAGAUUAAGUACUCAAAAUAUCAAAACAAACUUCUUAGGGCAAAAGUAGUUCAGUCAUGGUGGUGCAUGGUUGGAAUGACCUUGGAGCUAAACUCGUGAAAUAGAGUUGCAAGCUCCAGGUUGUACUCCCUUUCAUCAUCUAGCUGUUGCCUUGUCAAAGAAACCAUCUCUUCCAGAUCUCCCAUUCCUUUCUCCAGCAUCCUUACUUGAUGUCUAACUCUUAUGACUUCUUCAUUCAGAAACACAUUAGUGUUUGGUGAGUUUGGAUCAUAGGUGUUCCUCCAAGUCUUUUGGAAAGAGCUUGCAGUGAAUGGCUGGAUGUGAGAUAUGAUAGGAUGAGGAUAGAGUGGAAUUCCAAAGUACCCUGGACUGAGUAAUUUUGAAAUCAUCCUUGGGUAGUAACGAGCUCCAGUGUUCUUGUGCAUGAUUAGUGACACCCAGUUCACUCUAAUUUUUGACAGCAGACAGUAGAUUGCUACUAAGAUAGAUGUUGAUGGUUCUUCUCUAUCUUCAACUUGAGGAUAAAUGUUGUAUGAGAUGAUCUUCAGAAAAAUUGAAGCUUCUGGUAUGAGCAUUGUCUUUAGGAUUCUAUCAGUGCUCUUAGGGUUGUACCUGUGAGUGAGAGUGUUCCAGAGAAUCUCCCAGCUGCACUUGAAAGGUAGCUCAUCCAGCCUUCUGUAAUUUUGAAGCUUCACUCCAUUGUUGGGCAGGUUUAUCCAUAGUCCAAGUUUAUCACCUCCUAGAAUGAGAGGUAUUCCAUUUAUUGUGGUGGUAAUCACUUGAGAACCUGCUGCUUCAUAUUUGAGAUUGGCAUAGAACUGAGCCAACUCAGAUUUGUAGAUUCUGAGUUGCCCUAUAUUCUCAAGAUAGUCAGUAAGCCUAUUGAAGUUCAGUAGCCCUUCAAUCACCCUGCAGUUGAGAGAUCUAAGUAUAACAGGUUCCUCAAAGAUCAUUCUUUGCUCGAGAAUGAGAUCAUAGGAGAACUUAGCUACUGAAGAGAUCCAAGUUGGUGUUCCCCGGAACAUUUCUGACACUGGAAUCUUCCUGGAGCGUUUCUUCCGGAUGACAUUGCUGCUUGAGGGAUUAGGGUUGUAUACUGGACUGGAAGGAUGGUCUGGAAUAAUUGUGAGCUCCUUCUUCUCUGGAUUGAUUUCUUCAAUCAACAUCCUUGGGUGUAUCUUAAGAUGGAAGAAGAUGAUAUAGUUGUUUAUCUUCCUGUCCUUAUAUAGUGAAUUGAUUCACCUCAAGCUUAUCUAUAUGGUCUGUCCCGAUUUUUAUGGACUGUCAUUACUUGUGGAGUUACAAGUAAUGAAAACAUCUUUAAGUCAUGCCUAAGAUUAGCAGCUUUUAGUUGAUUGCUGCUUGGUGAAUCUUGAAAAGAUUCAAAGCAUUUUAUCACUUCUUAGACAGAAAUUUUUCCUUUCAGAUGUCAAUCAGUUCUGAAUUUAGAUAAAUUCAGAUUAGCUAAUAUAGCUUGUAGAUCUUUUCACGUGAUCAAGCCAAUUUUGUGUUCAACUUUUGGAUGGUUGGCUUUUAGGGUUUGUUUUUCAAUAAACCCUACUUGGUGUUAGGAGACAGAAUAAGAAGCAGAUGUGAUUGUUCUUCCCAUUUUUUAUAGUGGAAUAUUCUAUCUUUUGACAGAUCUUGUCUGUCCAGAUUUUCAACAGAUAUUACUUGUAAAGCUUUACAAGCUUUUAGUCAUGUCUAACCGUGUAGAGUUAGCAAUUUAGGGUUUUUUCAACACUCCAUGACACAUGUCUUGGAGAGUCAACUCAUUUAGAUUUAUCUAGGGAUUUUGUUUAAUAGAUCUAAGUUAAGAUUUGCUUUUGAAGAACUAUUUAUUUAACUAUUUAGAUCAUACCUUUUUAGUAGUUCAACACAACUUUUACACUCUUCCAUGCUUAGACUUUUGCAGCCGAUGUUUUGGACUUCUGUAGGUUAAGAGUGAUGUGUGUAGAGCAGGUGCAAGAUUUGCUUUUGCCCGAGCUGCUUGCAGAAAGUUGUCGUUGCUUGUUGUGUUGAAUAUGGUGGCUGAAUCUUCAAUACCGAGGUAGCUAGAGUGUGCAGGUAUGAGCUUUGGAAGUUCUUUCACCAAGGUCGAGGAUGUUUGGAUUUUCAAGAUCAAGAAGAUUUGUCAUACUGAGUUUUGACAAUUGGCAUGUUUGCCUGUCCCACCUGUUCUUAGGAUAGAUAUAUAGAUUUGCAUAUUCAUGUAAAUUCGUGGUGACAUGGCAUGAGUCAAUAUUUUUUUUGUGUUCAUCUUGUAUGCAUACUCAUGACAUAUUGAAUUGUUUGAAAUUUUCAAGCAUGUAUUGCACAACUCAUAUGUAGGUAGAUUUAUAUGCAUAUGUUUAUCAAUACAUGAAACAUGCAGGUAUAUAUAAGCUUAGUUUUCAUGCAUUGAUUAUAAGUUAACGAUUUAGUAAGAAAAGGCUUAUGAUUGCAUGUCAUAUAGCUUAAAAGAUUCAUAACAUUAUUCAAAGAUAAUCAAGUGAUAUAGGAUUUAUAAUAUAUGUAUGAGCUAAAUAAUUAUACACGUAAGUCAAAACCAGCUGUUUGACUAUCAUGUAUCAUGCAUGCAUAUGAUUCAUUUUCUUAUAGAUUCAUAGAUAAGCAUUAGCAUGCAUUUAUAAGAUAAGUCAUAGUAUUAUGCUAGACUUAAAACAUAUGUGUUCAUACCUUUAAGGACCAUAUGCGUGUACAUGCAUAAUAUUGUAACAUUUAUGUUGCUAGGCAUGCAUUUAUCAGAUAGUCAUAUGCACAUAGAUCUAUUUAGACUUUAUUUGGGAUACAAAACAAUCUAGGACAUAGUUGCCUUGAUAUGUGUUGAUCUCCAAUGAUUUGUUUUGCGGGAUCUGAGUUUCUGAGAUGCCUGUUCAGAGAUGAUUGUUUUCUGAUCAUCUCUUUCUAUGGGAGUGUCAGAUGGUAUGACUUUAAUUCCUCCUUCUUCUGAGCUAGGAGCAGAGAUGGACUCAUCAAAGUUAAUGUGUAGGGAUUCUAUCAAAUUUUAUAGAAUAAGCAUUGCUUUUUCUAUGUCCUUUGGCAAUGAUAACUCCCUCAGAGUUAGUGAUAGAACAAUUGUACUACACAACCAAUAUCAUAUAAUUGACCUAUGCUAAUCAGGUUGUGUUUUUAGACCAUUUACUAAGUAUACAUUUCUUAAGAAUGGUUUUUCUGUAUUUCCUACAUUACCCCUACCUACUAUUGUACCUUAACCUUUUUAGUAGGAGGUAAGUCUAUCAAGUCGUUUAGUAGACUUGAUUUCCCGGUCAUGUGCCUUGUGCAUCCUUUGUCGAACAUCCAUUUUGACACAUGCUUUACCUGAAAGAGUUAAAAAAUUCUUUGGUACCCAUACUAAGUUGGGUCCGAAUGGAUUAGUAUACCUAAUUUGUGUAUAAUCUCUUAGCUCAUCCUUAGUCAUCCAUUUUUGUUUUGGACGAUUCAUCUUAAAGUGAUUCUUCUUUUUCUUAAGAUGAAUGGACUUUGUAUUGCUAUAAUGAUUAUUGUAUCUUGAAGUAUGCAAAGGUUUUUUAUAACUAGAUUCCCUUACAAAAUGAUCAUUAUAAAUUGUAGCAUUUAGGGUUUUGUUACUAGGUGCAUUUGACUCAAACCCUAAGCCAAAUUUCUUUUGACCCAAGUUUGAGCCUUGCAAUAAAUUAUUUAACUUUGAUGAACUAUUUGAGAAUUUCUGAAGAACACUAUUUUUCUCAUUCAUUCUUUUAAUUUCUAGUUGCAUGCUAUUAUAUUUUUCAGAUAAUUUUUUCAAAGUUUCUUCAUGCUCAAGUAUGAGUUUAUCCUUAGAUUCUAUUUCAGUCUUAAGCAUGAUAGUUUCUUUUUCUUUAUUUCUAAUGGUUUCCUCAAAAUUAUCUAUUUUUAGUUCUAACAAUUCAACCCUAUCAUUAUUUUCAUUUGAUUCUUUUUCUUCAGAUUCUAGAAUAUCAAGUAAUUCAAAAUUUUGACUCUUAAGUGUUUUAAUUUUUUCAUUUCCCUUUUCUAUUUUACUUAAGAGUUUAUGAUUUUCUUCUUUUAAUAGCAUGCAUUCUUUUUGUGAUUCUUCUAAUUCUAUUGAAUGAUCAAUAUGUGGUCUAUUCAUGCAUUCUAGUUUUAAUGAUUUAUUUAAUUUUUUCUCAGCUUUAUAUUUAUCCAUUAAUUCUAGAAAUGCUUCUUCUAAUGAAUUAAAUCUAGUAUUUGUAAAAUUUACCUCAGAGUCGUUCUCAUGAGCCAUGAGGCAGUCUUCUUGGUCUGACUCAGAAUCUGACCAGUGUACUUGAUGUGCUUUUUCUUUCUUUAGUAGAGGACAUUCAGGUCUGAUGUGUCCCGGUUUGUUGCACUCGUAGCAGAUGGGCUCCUUUGAGUCUGCUUUGAGGUCUUUACUCACCCUUUUGUCGGAAUUCUGAUAGUCUAUCCUUGAAUUUCUCUUUUCUUUCCUUUUUAUGAGAUAUCUCUUUAGAUGUUUUGUGAGCAUUGCUACGUCAUCAUCAGAUGAUUCAUUUUCACUUUGACUUUUAAGAGCAAUGUCCUUUUUCUCCUCUUUUGCUCUAGAGACAAAUCUUUCUUCUUCAUAGGCCAUCAGAUUUCCGCAAAGUUCUACCACUGUGAGUUUGUUCAGAUCAUGAGAUUCUUGGAUAGCAUUCCUCUUUGAGUAGUAUUUGUCUGGAAGGCUUCUUAGAAUCUUGCUUACUUGCUUUUUCUCAGUUACUGGAUCCCCUAAUCCAGCCAGAUCAUUGACUAUUUGUGAUAGUCGAAUGUUCAUUUCUGCGAUAGUCUCAUCUUCCCUCAUAGAGAAUCUUUCGAACUGAGAAGUGGCAUGUAGCAGCUUAUUUUCCUUGACAUGGGAGGUUCCUUCAUGUAAAUCCUCCAAAGCUUUCCAGACCUUGUGUGCUGUAUCCAAGCAUCGAAUUCUGCUGUACUCAGAUUCAUUGAGAGCACCAUAUAAUGCAUUCAAUGCUCUUGAGUUGUUGUUUUCCUUGAGGAUAUCCAAGGCUCCCCAAGUCUCUUCUUUGCUUGUUGGAAUCUCAUAAUCUUCCAAUACUAUUUUCCAGACUCCAUUGUUGAUUGACUUUAAGUAUAACUUCAUCUUAUUCUUCCAGAAGUCAUACUUUACUCCAUCAAACCUGGGAGGUUUGUUUGAUGCAAGACCCGUACUGUUUUCACCAUUUGAAGCCAUAGUUGUUGUUGUAAGAUGUUAGUCUGACUUCAACGGAACUUGGCUCUGAUACCACUUGUUGGAUCGUGAUCCGAGGCUAUAGGGGGGGUGAUAGCCUCUUUUCGAUUUAUACAGGUUGAUAGCGGAAUUACCUGUAAACACUUAAUAAACAAAUGGUUGAACAGUAAUGAUAUAAAGAUAUUGUUAUUUUAAUUGAUAUAGUAAUGUAAGUAUUACUCUGUGAAGCUUACUACAGUAUAUGAAUACUGAGUCAACUUUCUUGAUAAUGUUUCAAACACAACUGUAGUAUAUGAAUACUAAGUUAUAUUUAAAACACAAAUUAUACUGUAGAGUAAAUGACCAGAUAACUGGAUAAAUUGAUACGUAAAUAAAUGACCAGAUAACUGGAUAUAUUGACAAGUAAAUAAGUGACCAGAUAACUGGAUAAUUUGAUAAACAAGUAAGUGACCAGAUAACUGGAUAAAUAUGAUAAGUAAUAAAGAUUAAAACAAUGAAUGUAACCUCAGAUAGUUGACCAGAUAACUGGAUGAGGGAUCUGCGUAAAGUAGUCAACCUCUGUUCUUGACCAGAUAAUUGGAAGAGGGAUCUUUUUAAUUAGGUGUUGUUAUUAAGCAAAAGAUAGAACUAAAAUUAACAGAAAACAACACAAGAGAUUUAUACUGGUUCACCCAAACACGGGCUAGUCCAGUCCCGACCCACUGCCGGAUUUCACUCGCCUAAAGGUAAUGGCAAAACCUUUUCUAAGCUUUAAGGCUACUACGCUUAGGAACCAGUCUUUUACGGGUAGACUCACACCUUAGAGUAUUACAGGGCACUCUUAAGAACCUCUAACUUUUACGGGUAAGUUAGUACCUUAGAGUAUUCAAGGAACUCUUAAAAACCUUUCUAAGCUUUAAGGCUACUACGCUUAGGAACCAGUCUUUUACAGGUAGACUCACACCUUAGAGUAUUAAAGGGCACUCUUAAGAACCUCUCUAAGCU